rfam:Mouse hepatitis virus strain MHV-A59 C12 mutant, complete genome.
UAUAAGAGUGAUUGGCGUCCGUACGUACCCUCUCAACUCUAAAACUCUUGUAGUUUAAAUCUAAUCUAAACUUUAUAAACGGCACUUCCUGCGUGUCCAUGCCCGCGGGCCUGGUCUUGUCAUAGUGCUGACAUUUGUAGUUCCUUGACUUUCGUUCUCUGCCAGUGACGUGUCCAUUCGGCGCCAGCAGCCCACCCAUAGGUUGCAUAAUGGCAAAGAUGGGCAAAUACGGUCUCGGCUUCAAAUGGGCCCCAGAAUUUCCAUGGAUGCUUCCGAACGCAUCGGAGAAGUUGGGUAA